rnacentral:tRNA from 1 species
UUGAAAAUCCGUUGGCUUUAUAGACCAUGAGGGUUCAAGUCCCUCUACCCCCA